GCUUUGAUGAGAAGGAUGGGGUCCAGAGAAGACUGCUAAUGGCUCUGGGCAUGACAAGAAGCACAGGUGCUGGUACCUGCUCAACUCUGAGUUCUUGGUCUUUCUCACGUCUCCACAGCCCAUGGUCAUCCUCAGUCUUCCUGGUGCACUGCAUUCUCUCAAAAAUCUUCAAUACAUGUUCACGACCACUGGUCAGCAGACAGAUUAUCUCAGAGACUAGAGCACCGAAAGGAAAAGGACGAAAACGGCCAUGUACAAGAAUUCAAGCCUAACUCAUGCCCUGCAAACACUACGGACACCAGCAGAGACCACAAGAGCAGUGACACAGCGUAGUGCUUUAGUCUUACAUUUGGUCUUACCUCUCGGUAAAAGCUGAAUCUGAUCAAAAGGGAGAGUUGGUUAAAGUAGUUGGAUUAGGCUCAAAAUAGUCUCUAAUAUUAAGCCCCACUUUAGCGAACCAAAACUUAACUGUCUGUGCUCUGCUCUCCCAGAAAGGAAGGUCUGGUUUAACCAAUCAGCACGUCCCUGCUCAGCACAAGUUACCUGACCUGUUCCAAGACUUCCCUGUGCCCCCAUAUAAGAAGAGUAAUCAUGCUUAACCAGUCAGCAAAUGCCCAGUGUAACUUCCCAUUCCUGCUCACUUGGUCUGUAAAAUCUCUUGCAUUGUACAUCUUCAGUGCUCCUUUUUAUCUGCUAGAUUAGAUGCUGCCUGAUUCAUGACAUCAUUAAAUAAAAGCGAGUAGAUCUGUAAA